rnacentral:rRNA from 1 species
GAUGAACGCUGGCGGCGUGCCUAAUACAUGCAAGUCGAGCGAACGGACGAGAAGCUUGCUUCUCUGAUGUUAGCGGCGGACGGGUGAGUAACACGUGGAUAACCUACCUAUAAGACUGGGAUAACUUCGGGAAACCGGAGCUAAUACCGGAUAAUAUUUUGAACCGCAUGGUUCAAAAGUGAAAGACGGUCUUGCUGUCACUUAUAGAUGGAUCCGCGCUGCAUUAGCUAGUUGGUAAGGUAACGGCUUACCAAGGCAACGAUGCAUAGCCGACCUGAGGGGGUGAUCGGCCACACUGGAACUGAGACACGGUCCAGACUCCUACGGGAGGCAGCAGUAGGGAAUCUUCCGCAAUGGGCGAAAGCCUGACGGAGCAACGCCGCGCGAGUGAUGAAGGUCUUCGGAUCGUAAAACUCUGUUAUUAGGGAAGAACAUAUGUGUAAGUAACUGUGCACAUCUUGACGGUACCUAAUCAGAAAGCCACGGCUAACUACGUGCCAGCAGCCGCGGUAAUACGUAGGUGGCAAGCGUUAUCCGGAAUUAUUGGGCGUAAAGCGCGCGUAGGCGGUUUUUUAAGUCUGAUGCGAAAGCCCACGGCUCAACCGUGGAGGGUCAUUGGAAACUGGAAAACUUGAGUGCAGAAGAGGAAAGUGGAAUUCCAUGUGUAGCGGUGAAAUGCGCAGAGAUAUGGAGGAACACCAGUGGCGAAGGCGACUUUCUGGUCUGUAACUGACGCUGAUGUGCGAAAGCGUGGGGAUCAAACAGGAUUAGAUACCCUGGUAGUCCACGCCGUAAACGAUGAGUGCUAAGUGUUAGGGGGUUUCCGCCCCUUAGUGCUGCAGCUAACGCAUUAAGCACUCCGCCUGGGGAGUACGACCGCAAGGUUGAAACUCAAAGGAAUUGACGGGGACCCGCACAAGCGGUGGAGCAUGUGGUUUAAUUCGAAGCAACGCGAAGAACCUUACCAAAUCUUGACAUCCUUUGACAACUCUAGAGAUAGAGCUUUCCCCUUCGGGGGACAAAGUGACAGGUGGUGCAUGGUUGUCGUCAGCUCGUGUCGUGAGAUGUCGGGUUAAGUCCCGCAACGAGCGCAACCCUUAAGCUUAGUUGCCAUCAUUAAGUUGGGCACUCUAAGUUGACUGCCGGUGACAAACCGGAGGAAGGUGGGGAUGACGUCAAAUCAUCAUGCCCCUUAUGAUUUGGGCUACACACGUGCUACAAUGGACAAUACAAAGGGCAGCGAAACCGCGAGGUCAAGCAAAUCCCAUAAAGUUGUUCUCAGUUCGGAUUGUAGUCUGCAACUCGACUACAUGAAGCUGGAAUCGCUAGUAAUCGUAGAUCAGCAUGCUACGGUGAAUACGUUCCCGGGUCU